GUCUUCGUGGCUCAGUUGGCUAGAGCGUUGGUCUCAUAUUCGUAUGAUUCGAUCUUAGAUCGGGCUAUCCAAAGGUCGUGAGUUCGAGCCUCACCGAGGACA
rnacentral:tRNA from 1 species